CCCUAUUAUUAUGGUACCGUUUAGAACAAAUUCAUAGGCUUCAAAAACCUCUACGUAACCCAUUCUCCAAACGACGCAAUUUACCAACAUGUCGACUCAAAAUCAAUCAUUCUCAUCGUCGCAUCCAUUUGAACGCUCCUCCUUUUGCAAUUCGACAUAUCCUUCCAUUCUCCAUCUUUCCAGUCACACAUAUCGUUUCCUCAAAGAUCUGGAAAUCGGAAUCAAAGAAGACUCUAAUUAUGUGAUUAACGAUAAAUUCAUCAUUUUGUUGACCGGAUUUGCAAAUCGGAAUCAAAGAAGAACGGCUCAACUUUUCUUUCUUCCGUCACCAUCUUUUCUAUAGGUAUAUUAUCAAUAGGAACCCUAAUUUGCUUUCAAGUUUUAUUCGUUGUUACUAUUAAUCCAAUCGAUGGAUUUCUUUCCCGUUCAGUUUUUUUUUUUUUGAUCAAUUUUAUCCCCAAAAUAUUCUUCUCAUUCUUUUAUACGCACAAUCAACAUCAUGGUGUAUAGACAAUAACCCUUAAUCAAUGAAAGACGUUCAACAUUUUUCUUGCACCUGUUUUAAAAAUCAGAGUGCUCAAUCUUCAUGAAGGUUGGUGUUGUACCUGCUUCUGAAUCUUAAAGUAGAAACGUGCAAUUCUCCUAAACCGCCCCAAAUUUUCUAAUUUUUUGAUUUUGGUGUCGCUUCAAACCAACAAUUUUUAUUCAAAUUAAAAGUUUAAAAAGGCAAAAAUAUCGUAUCGAUUUAAUUUGCAUUUCAGCACAUACCCUACAUGAUUUUCAAUUUUCAAUUAAGGGUUAGGGUUCGCCAAGGUAAACUGAACAAGGAUGGAAACAUGAAUAUAAUGGGCUAUGUCACCUUUCAUGGUUGGGUAUAAUAGACUUAUAGGUUGAGUUGUCUUGCAUCCAUGAACCUCCAUAACAUGCAUGAAUAAUGUAUGUCAAGACAGACACACCCACACACAGAGAGAAGAAAGAUGCUUCUCAGUUGAUCAAGCACAAUCACAAGUUAAGAUGUGAAUUAGAUUUCUUUUUUAUUAAUGUAAAUUCUAUAAAAUUAUUUCAAUAAAUAUCAGUGUUUCUUUAUUUUCAUUGCAGAGAGAGGGUAUUAAAUUUGUAACUAUUGGAUGAUAAAACCCUCAGGCAACAAUCUCUUCUUCUAUUCCACACCAAAUUGGAUUUCUUAACCAUAGAGGUUUUUCUGUGAUAUGUGGAAAGGCUGAUAUAGCGUGCACACUUUCAUGUACUCCAGCCAAAAACACACAGAAUUUGAAGUUGGUCUCGAAGAUCAAGUGAUCCUUAAGGCGGACAUUUGGCACGACUAACAACUCACUUUAACCUAUUCAAAGUAAUUUUCCGCCGUCCUUUCAUCCCACAUGUUCUCCUCUGAUGUGUGAAAUUGUCUCAAGACAUUUCUGAAUGAUUAUGGGUUAUUUUUGAAAGUGAUGAACAACCUCUAUCAAAUUGAUCGAAUUGCAUGAAAUUUGUCACGCUUCAUCUUUCUGAUUCAAUAAAUGUUCACAACCAUUGUGAUUGAUUAGUACCUUCCUGCAAAUUUGUGUAUGUUACCCUGUAUAUUAUCCCAUUUCCUCUCUCGUUCUUUUGUGUUCUGUUUGGUUAUUAACUUUUCAAAAGCAUAAUUCCCGGUCUUCAUGAAGGUUAGCGUCAUAAAUAGGUCUCUAUCCGAAACUAAAAUUGACCAUAUUUAUCCCAUACCGCAUGUAUUUUUAAAUGGUGUGAUUGCAAAACUUCAAAUUUCCAUCAAAUUAAAAAAAAAUUGACAUAUCCUUCAAAUUGCAAUUUGUUUGAAAAGUUCCUGUAUUUCUAAAUUGAUCAUAAUUGGUCAACUUUUUUCCUUUAAAUUAAAAAAAAAAAUCAGAAAAAAUCCACUAAUUUCCAUCAUAUUAAAAAAAAUUAACAUAGCCUUCAAAUUGCAAUUUUGUUUUCCAUGUUCCUAUGUUUCUAAAAUUGAUGUAACUGGUCAACUAUUUUCCUUUAAAUUAAAAAAAAAUCAGAAAACAUCCCCUGUGAAAAAGUUUUAGUAUAUUGUAAUUUUCGUGAGUUAUGGAUAUACAAAUUGGUGUUAAAAGUAUAAGUUGAAAUGAAUAUGGAUUGAUCUAAUUAAACUUCAUUAGUCCUCUUUCUUAAGUUAACCAAAAAUUGCAAAUUGUUGAUUGGCAUUAUGUACAUGUGAAUACAGAAAUCAGACAUAUCUCCAACUUAUCUUAACUACAUUAAUAUUCCAUAAGAAAAAUCAUUUCAAUAUAGUAAUAACUACACACUAACCAAUGGAACAACCCAUUAUUUAGUUAAAAUUGUGGCAAUAUUGCAAUCUCAUUUUUGUCCUUUCUCUCUCUGUUUUUUUAAUGUUAUCUUCUUAAUAACCAGGCAAUAUUGAAUGGAUUUGAAUUUUAAAACCAAUUCAAGCAGAUGUAAACUGGAACAUCAAAUGCCCUCUUUGUAAAGAGAAAUCAAAAAUACAGAUCAUGUAUGUGUAUUUCUAUUAAAUAAACUUUUAAACCAAUUUUCUUUCAACAUCAUGAUUCUUUGAACAACUCAAGGGCAAUAAUUGAAAUCAAUAAUGGAACUGGAACAAUUGCUGCAAGCAUAUCAACACCAGAAAUUGAAAAGUUAAUUCCAUUAAACCCCAAUGAAAUCAAAGAUGUAGCAAAAAGUGUAAGGUUUCCUAAUUUCAAAACUGUCAUUUUUUAAUUAUUUAAAUAUUUUCAUUACAUUUAAUAAAUUACAUAAAGCAGGAAAAAAUGUACAUGAUGUUAUCGCAUCAUCAGUUCAAGGAUUAUCAGUUGUCACAUUUGUACGAUCAUAUCAAUCAUGGAACCAACAACAACAAAUCACAAGAUUUGUCAUUGUCAAGUUGUAUGAAGUCCAAGAACAUUACACCAAUGACCAACAACUACUCAUUCCAUCAACUAAAUUUGAAACUUUGUUAACAACAAAACCAGCCUCAACUAAGCAAACCCAAAAGAAUAUCCAGCCAGAUGUAGGGAAAACAAAAGUGACAGAAUCAUCAUCCGUUGGCACAUCAAGACCAACUAAAAAAAUGAAAUAGGUAUGGAGCAACAACCAACAGUGCAUUAAUUAGUUUCAUUGUUUAUUUAUGUACACUAACUGCUUUCAUUUGUUCGUCACAAAGCUAUUUUCCACACAAUCUACCAACCAACAGCUGAUCAUUAUCACUUACCUAAAUAGAGAUAAUAUUAUGUUAUUUCUACAUGGUAUUGGUAUGUUUUUAUGUUAUUAUAUCCAACAUUAUUACAUUAUUAGAACAAUAAUUCAUGUAUGCCUCACCAUAACAUUAUUAUAUCCAACAUUAUUAUAUCCAACAUUAUGUUUUUAUGUUAUUAUAUCCAACAUUAUUACAUUAUUAGAACAAUAAUUCAUGUAUGCCUCACCAUAACAAUAAUUUAUGUACACUAACUGCUUUCAUUUGUUUGUCACAGAGCUAUUUUCCACACAAUCUACCAACCAACAGCUGAUCAUUAUCACUUACCUAAAUAGAGAUAAUAUUAUGUUAUUUCUACAUGGUAUUGAGAAUAGACAAUCAAUCAGAGAAUGGAGAAGGAAUAAAAGAAAAAGAAGUGAAGAACAAUAGGUGUUAUUCAGAAUUAGAUUUCAAGAAUCGAUUAUCAGAAAAUGAGAAGGAUGAAGAAUUGUCGCUCACUUGUAAGAAUGGAGACUUCCAAUUUUGGCUGAUGAUUUUUGUGGUUUGUGUAACUAUGAAAGGAGAAGAAAGAAUCGAGAUUUUCUAAAGUAUCUUGUUUUAAGU